AUUGACAUGAUGAAAUGCAAUAUGAAAUUUUAAAUGAAUGCAUGAAUGAGGAGGGCAAAUUUUUGGGUGUUACACAAUCGUAAUUGGACUUAUGUAGAAGUCACAACUAUUUGAGGUCGGGUAAUAGACUUUUCGUGUUAAUGCAUUUUGGAGACAUAGUAUUAUGAACUAUGCUCAUUAAACAUACCCCACACAAAAAAUAUGCAAAAUGUGUG
rnacentral:lncRNA from 1 species